GCAGUUCGAAUUUAUUAAAUCCAAUUUAAGGUUUCCAUCCAACAACGGCGCGGGGCGCCGUGCAAUUGUUGGUCGCCGGAUCGAUCGCCGGUUGUCACGUUGCUACUGCCGGUCGGCUGUAAGAACGCGAUUAGUUUUCAAGUUCAAACUGAAGCGACCACCACCGGACCCGCAAUCAUCGACAUCAGGUAGCAAGCAAGCAAGUGUGCAUAAAUUUGCACCGGCAGUAAGUGUGCUAUAAAGCACCGUCACGCAACAGUGGACACACGACUUAAGUUCCGGUUGAACCAGAAGUUCAUAUUCACCUUUUUUUGGCCGGUCAAACCGAACGUCGUAAAAAGUGGCUGGCUGGUUGUACCCUUGCGAUAGCCAUCUGAUCGAUACGGUUAUGGUUUACUGUCACAAAUCGGACUCCCAGUCUUACCUUUGUAGUCUACUGGAGGCGGUCUUUGAAAAGAUCUCGGAAUAUAUGUAUAUGCAUUGUACAUUGUGAAUGUGCUUUUCAGUGUUUGUUUGAAACAGUUUCGAAUAACCAGUACCUAAAUAGAUUUUAAAAGGCGCCCAUCAAAAAAACAUUGGGUAAUCUAUUGGAAGUUGGACCGGCCAUUUUUAAACGUAGUUUUUAAGUCUGUGAAGAAAUCGAUGAUAGCUUAACUGAUGUCUGUAAGUUGGUAACAAAAACUGCUCUGAUAUGCAGUCAGCUUCCGAAAGUGAAAUCCUUCCAGAAUCGAAGACAUCGCAUCGUUCGGAGAACGACCAACCGAACUGGUUUUCCACUAACCAACCGACCGAGAAUCGAGUCACCCGACCAGAGUUCUUGCGAUUCCCUCUCGUUCCGCUCCUUACCUACCACCUACUUUAGCGCAGCAGCGUGUGAAUCAUCCAGCGACCAUUUGGAAAAAGCCCACUUACCCCUGAAACCAUCGGUCGGUCGGUCGGUCGAACGUUGCGUUGCACCGAUGCGGGCAGAACUCUAAUUGCUGUAAUGUCUUACUUCCAUCGGAUUACGAAAACAACGACCAAACCGGUCCGGUCGGAGGAACCAACGUUUGUGUAUGGUAUCGUAUGGACCGGACGGUCCGCAUCAAGGCGCGGUGGCCUGCGGUGACGACGGAUCGAACGAAUCACAUGAUCGUCCCGCCGCGGCCGCAGCAGCGAGGACCACCGCAGCUAAAUAGCUGACGGAAAGAAGAGAUUUUAAUUAUGGGGGAUUCCAGCCAGUUGGUGAUUUCUGGCGACCGGAGAAGUUGUUUUGCUUUUCGAACUUGCACGCCAUAGCAUCAUGUUGACCUGAUCGUUUAGUGGUGCAGUCCGUUUUUUUCCUGCAACUAAUUGUUGACAGAGAAAGUUUUUUGUAGACUAAUUACCUGAUAGUAUUUUACUUGAUCGACCGUAAAAAAGUUUCUAAAAAUUAUGUAAAUAGUGAUCGGUUUCCCCCGGUUGACCUUUGCUAGUUUGUCGCGUCUCCUUCGAGGCGUUGUCGGUUACUGAUGUUUAAAGUAAACAAUCAACUAGCUUAUACUGAUAUGGGUUGCAUUGUGCGAUUAAUUUAUUCAAAAUAGUGUUAUUCUAUCUAGAAAACAAAAGCUCAGCUACAAUCUUUAUCAAGCUCAUAAAAUGUUUAAUUUGACUUUAAUUUUUGGAUAAACACUAAAAAAUAGAAAACAAAAUCUCAAUUCUAUUUUAUUGUACGAAAUAUUUUUGAACUAUAAUUACAAAUUGUGAAUGUUUUUUUUUUUUUUUUCAACUUUUAUAACAGGAUUGUACCCAGGCGGGGUACGUUGGGGCACGUGCCCCAUUUUCUUUAAUACAUAAAUGUAUAGCAAAUUCUUCAAGGUACAAUCGGGAAAUUCGGAGUUGUUAAAUGUUGUGUGUCAGUCUCAAUUCCAUUGUCCAAUUCUAGUCCAAGAUUUCAAGUCCAAUCUUCCUUCAAAGUUUGCUCUACUUUACCCACUCGUUCCUCACUGCCAGUACUAUCCCAAAUUAUAGCUGCCCUUGGCGAGAACUCAAUGCGUUCCUCUAACCAGUACACUUAAACUAUAAGAGUGACUUUUGCACUGUCAAGAGGCCUUAUCGGGGUAAUAUAGAACUCGGCAUGAAAGAAGCGUAAUGAGGAGCCUGAGAAUAAACACACAAUCCAAACCCAAGACACUAAACAUCGAAUGACUUGGUUCUACUAAGGUUCGAGGCUACGACUACUCGCUUGUUAGAGCAGACUUGGUAACCUUAUGGCAGCGGAGCUCCCCCAAGUUUGACCCAAGGCCCAAUUUCAAGUCCAAUUUGAAGUUUAAUUAUCACCUCCUUUUUGAAUUCAACUUUAUAUAAAACGUCAAGUUCAUGUUCAAGUUCGAAUUCUUAUUCAAAUCCAGAUUCUAAUCUAAUGGUUUAGUUUUAAGUCCAAUUUUAGGUUUAAUUUACAAUUCGAUUAUAAGUCCACGGGUGGGCCCACAUUCAUUGGGGCACAUUUCCCGUCAUUUCUAUCAAAUUUACUGUUAAAAAGUUUUCGUGGUGGAACUCUGAAAUUUAGAAUUGUUAACCUAAACGGCCGGUAUUUUUACGAUUCACUGAGUGCAACUAUGGGCAGUCUACCUAAGCUAAGCUAAGCUAAACGGCCGGUAUUUUUACGAUAAGUUAAUUAAUUGCGUACAAACGAUGCACCAUUCUACGAUUAUAUGAUAAUUUUCAGGCCAGAACAUGCUCUAAAUAGGUCGGUGUCCCAUCUUCUGUUUCAGUCUGGGCACGCCAGUGGUUAUUUUUAAUAUAUAAAAGCAAACGUGAGUAUGUUUGUAUGUUUGUAUGUAUCCCUACUAGCACGGUUGUUGCAAAGUGGUUGUGGUAACCGAAUUAUGACUUAUUUCAGUCGUAAUCCAGUUGCUUCAACUAAAUGGACCUAAUGUGUGCUACUUGGGAUGUUCCGCCAUAACUCUGGAACACCAAAACCGGAACGGUUCUUCAUCAAACUUGCCACACAUUCCUUUUAACGUGGGAUUACGUCUUUGUGUACUAUACUGAGACUGGGUAGCACUUUGUGAAAACGAAAAUAGAAGUGUAACGUUUGAAUGAAAGAUUUCAAAUGCUAAUUACUACUAAACUACUAAACGAAACUGAACAAUCUAACAAUGUCGUAGGAUAGAUAAAAUU